AGGAAGACAGAACAGUUAUUUGCUGUUUAUCGUAUCUUUAAACUGAGUUCACGCUCUCAUAAAUUUAAGCAGCAGUUGGUGUUGCUUGGGAAAAGUUCACCCGGGCUUGAGACUCUGAGGAGACAAGAUACCUGGGACUGCAUGGCUUUCAAAGAAGAAUCCAAAGAAAUUUCUUCAGAGGCAAUGAAUUUUAUCUUUGUUCCAACAUCUGCAAUGUCUGCUGUAGAAGAGCACAUCAGCUCUGUUUCCAGCCGUGAUGACAUACAGGACAGGUUCCUUCAACUGAGCUGAGCAUUGGUCUUAUUGAAUCGUUUGGCUGACUGAUGUUUUCCCACACGCUGAUGAUGAUUCAGGAAAGCUGCGGCAAUAUUCUGUCAAGUUGCUGUUGAUAUGCCUGUAGCUUUCAAGGCAAACUUCCCAUAGGAAGACUAGGGAAAACAUGAGGCCACUGCUGAAUAGGGUAAGGAACUGAUGAAGAAUGACACAGAAAAGACCAAGGUACCUUGGUCUUUUUUGUUUCAUUUGUCACUGCUAAGACAGACCUUCACAAAGCCCAGGCCCCUGAGACCAAACGGAAGGUUUGGAGCAAGGAAUACUUACCGUCAGUGGAGGAGGACCAACCUAGAGAGCACUUGAACAAGCUGGACAUAAGUAAGUCUGUUGGGCCUGGUGGGCUGCACCCAUGAAUACUGAGGAAGCUGACUGAUGCCAUUGCAAAGACAUUCUUAGUUACCUUUAAAAGGUUACGGCAAUUGGGAUAGGUUUCUGAAACCUGGAAGAGAAUAAAUGUCACUCCUAUCUUAAAAAAGGAUGAUCUGGGGAACCACAGGCCACUUGGCAUCACGUCAGUACCUGGGAAGGUGAUAGAGAAUAUACUCUCGGCAAACAUUUCCAAACACAUGAAGGACAAAAAAUGAUCACGAGUAGUGAGCAUAUAUUUAUAAAAGGUAAGUCAUGCUUAACAAAUCCGAUAGCUUUCUACAAUGAAGUGACUAGCUUGGUGGAUGAGAAAAGUUGAUGUUGUUUCCCUUGACUUUAGUAAGGCCUUUGACACUAUCUUCCAUAACACCUUCAUAGACAAGCUAAAAAGGUACAGAUUAGAUAGACAGGCAGGUAGACUGAAAACUUGCUCAGUGGCUGGUCUGAAAGGGUUGUGAUCAGAGGCACAAAGUCCAGUUGGAGGCCAGUCAUUAGUGGUUUACCUCAGGGAAUGAUAUCGAAGCCAUUACUGUUUAACAUCUUUAUUAAUGAACUCUGCACUGAGACAGAGUGCACCAUCAGCGAGCUUGCAGACAAUACAAACCUGAGAGGAGUGGCUGAUAUGCCAGAGGGUUGGUCUGCCGUCCAGAGGGACCUUGAAUUGGCUAGAGAGGAAUGAGUCUUUCCCAGACAACCUACCCCUAGCCUUUCUUCUCACCAGCACUAGGCUGGAGAGAUGAGACAAUGGAAGCCCCUGUGCUGGGUGGUCCCCUCCCUGAGUCCAGAUUCAAGUUGUGGUACCCACCAGCACCACCCGGACAGCUUCUCCUGUCUGUUGGUCUGCAGAAUGCAGUGGCUUGAGGAUAAAGCAAUACUGUGUGCUAGGAAGUCAGAAAGGGCUGCAAGGUCUUUUUCUGUUAUGUUCAAAGGGUUGAUACCCUUCCUAUUACAUUUCAUUACUGAUGCUGCAGGAAGGAAGUAUCAUCCAUUUAAACCCACAAUAUUAUAUUUUUGCUGUUAUAACAUUAAGACAUGGAAUUAUGGUAUUUUACCUUUACAGACAGUAUACGUGGUUGUCUUGUUGUAUCUAUGUUAAUUCUUAAAGAGCGUAUAAUACUUAUUCGAGGCGAGUGUGUGUGUUUAGGGAAUGUUUGGAAUACUUACAAUCUAGUUAUUACACCUAACUGACCUCAUUUUGAAUCUGUUGUGAGUGUGCUUGAGUCCCAGGUUAAUUUAAAUAAUACCAGAGUUUUGGAAAAAGAAUCAAGUUCCAUGAGAUUUUCUUUAUCUGUGUUUCCCAUCUGGCUUGCUGUUACAGGCAUUUAAUCCUGUGUUUGCUGCCAGUGUUUCCCAGAAAGCCUUAUAAUUGCUUGGAAUUUGUAUGAACAGUUCCAGUCUGGUGCACAAUUAGGGAUGCACUAUAAAAUUUUCAUUGCUCGAUUUAGUUGAAAUUAUAAGAUGGAUGGGUAACUAUAAUGACCAUAGUUGUACCAUAUAAAAAUGACUACUGGAAAUUUGCAAGAGGGAAAAUUUAAUGGUAAAUAUUUCUUUUUCUUUUACUCCAGAGGUGAGGGAAAAAGGAAACAUAGCAAUAGAAUUUAAAAGAAAUGCUUGAUGUUCUAAGGUACUUUCCUUACUUUCCUUCUUUCCCCUAUAGUUGCAUAUCUCAAACUGGAAACCUGUUAUUUAGAAUAUGUUUAUGUGCCCCUUUAAGAGGUUGAUGUGGGGUUUUGGAUGAUAUAAAAACAUGACAUGUGCUUUCUCUUCUCCAGAAAAUAAAUGCAAUUGUGUUGUUUAUUUUUUAUAUAAACAAAUGGUUCACUUGUUCACUUUCUUUUUUUUUUUUUUCUUAUAUACUUGCUGAUGAUGCGGGGAGGCAUAUGUCCAGUAAUGAUUGGCAGCUGGCAUCAACAUACCAUGAAAAAAACCCUGGCAGAUUACUCAGUAGGAAAUCCUUUAUGCCGAAUGGCACGAAUUGGGAGUGAUUUUGAAAGGAACUUCAUGUUUAUAGCUUGUCACGGAGAGACCUAAAGCUCCUGAUUCUUUUCUUGUUUGUUUGGCUAACUGCUACAGUUUCAAAAAGCUGUUAUGUCUUUAGCCACAUGUUUGCUGUGAAGUCAGAAGCUGUGAAAGGAAGUGUUGUGCAGCUCUGAGAAUUCAGAGCGUAACAAUGGACACACUUGUCUGCAAGUUAUGAACAGGGGAGCCUAUGUGGUUGUGCAGUGCUGUGCGCUGUGAUAUUUGACCUAGCUCAGUCACCAAAAGCUGGCGUAUGUUACCUGACACACACGGGAUACAUCAUGAUGAUAGUGUUCUCUCUGAAAGUUUUUCGGAACUAUGUGCAUCAUGUCAAAUCUUCUUCUAAUAAGAGACUGACAGCCUGUUGUCUGAAAGGAAAUUCUACAAGAUACCAGGGUGGGGAUAUUUAACACGAUGUUUGCUCUAAGGUUUUCUCCACUUAUUUGCAAGAACUUUUGUGGGCUGCGGUAUUAUGUUCAGUGGCACCCGCGAAUAUAGCAGCAUAAGGUGAAACAUUUGCAGCUUCAGGGAAGUUAGUGUGAAAAGUUAACAGACUGACUAAUUUUAUGUCCUGUGUAAUUUUUUGCAACUCUGCUUGGAAUUAUUCUCUAUUUUUCUUAAUUUCCCAAAGCACCUUUUUUUUUUCAUGUUAAAAACCAAACCCAUACUUGCAUAUGAUAAUCGUUGUUUACAGGUUACUCUUUGUGGAAAGGAACAAAGGUAAAUGCCUUCCCACAGCAGUAUUUAAUACACAGUGGUACUGACAUAAGUCUUCCUGGUAUUGUGCUGUAUGGGAACUUUUCAGUUUCAUUAGAAUUUGCAAUUAACCAGACAGCCCAGAGCUUGCAUCUGUAUUUACGGAAAUAUUAUUUGUCUAGAGAGAAAAACAAAACCUAGCUCCCCAAAAACUAUUUAACAGCCUAUCUUCCUUUCUCCAAAGAAAACAGUAGUAAUUUUUCAUCAGCUUCAUGGAAAAUGUAUUUCCUCAUCUAGUAAUAACACAUAAGGGCAGAAAUGUGCAUUCUGCACACUCCCUUGUGGCCUUUGCCACUGAGCUCUUGCUUUCUGGCUCCUUGCUGUUGUGUGGAAAUCCAUUGGCCUUUAGUAACAGUGUAAUUUCUGGAAAUGGGAGAAAGCAAAAGAGAGAGUCUGAAAGAAAGGAGUUGGUAAAUGGAAAGGUCAAGGGAGGGAAAGAUAACAAGAGGCUGAGACAACUUCCUCCCCUGAAAAAUAACCCAACAAAACCCAGCUAAAAAAACCAAAAAUAAAAACCCCAAGCACAACAACAAAAACAAAACAACAAAAAAUCCAAACCACAAAACAAGGAAGGGAUAUCAGUAAAAAGAUUAGAGAAAAAAAAGAGAAUUCUAAAAAGGAGAUGAUAAUUCAUCACUGCCAACAUUAUUAACAAUAGGGUAAUGUUUACAUUAUGGUAAUACUCACAGACCCCGGUUGUGCCGUGCACUUCCCAUAGAGACGCUACCCCAUUGUUUCUGCAGACUGAUCUCCCACUUGCCCUUGUUGCCUCCUCAGACCUCUCAGUUGUCCUUUCCUCCUUCCAUCCCUUUCUUCUCUCAUGAAACAGUGAGAGAGAAUUCCUCAUUUCACCCAUGGCUUGCAGCAGCAAAGCUGUAUUGUCUUUGAAAGCCUGGCAGGUAUGUUUUUUGGGAACAGGAGGACAUGUGAUGAAAGGAAGAAAAAAGGAUAUGAGGCCAUGUAACGAAGAAGAAGAAAAUGCAGACUGAAAGGUUAAGAGGUUACUCCCCAUGAACCUCACUACUGGAGCCGCUGGCAUAACUAUCUGUGAAGUCACUCCUCCUUAUUGUAUCAGUAUGGUCUAGGUUAGUUUAAACACUUAAAAUAAUUGUGUUUUUAAAAUCUGGGUCAUUUUGACAGAUACAGUCUAGAAAGAAAUUUUUAUAUGCGGUUAUCCAUCAGAUCUCAGGAAACAGCAUCCUUCACAUGCGGUUAUGGGCAGUGACCUCUAACCAAGCUUAGCUGCAGUGAAACCAACAUUUUUUACAUAGGUUAGCUUUUAGUAUUUUUAGUAUUUUGCUGGAAACCUAGUGUAGAAUAAUUGCAAAAUGUACUCCUGCGUAGUUUUGAAAAUAGCUGAAAGCUAGUGCUUUAGACUAAUGUGGUACAUACAGCAUAGUGUGGUGUUACUUAAAACGCACAUAUCAGUCUUGAGCUCCUUGCUGAUUUAUCACUUUAGAAAGUGAUAGAAAGAUGACUUUCUUUAGUGGACAUUUGUCAAGGUCACUUAGCAUACUGUUCUUUUGGAUAGUCUGCUAAGUAUGAGAAGGGUGGGAGCUCAUCUCAUACUGUAUAUGAUCAAAGCUUUCUGAUGUUUAUGAAGACUCACCUGACCUCAGUGGACUGGGACACUGGGACACCUUUUAUCUUGGUUACCACUUCCUUGAUAGUUGAGUCUUUUCACAGAAUCUGUGCAUUGCUCCUGCUUUCUUAUCUACCAAGGAAUACUCAUCAGUGAAAUGCGUCCUGUAGUCUCUCCUUACUAGAGAAAUAUGUCAUGGGCAACUGCUCCUUAAGAUGUUUCUUACUUAGAUGAAAACAUUGUUAAAAGAGCAUGCUAUUCUUGCAUGAGAGAGAAAGAAACAAGAAAUACAUUAUUUUUUCUCAACAUUUUAUGCACAUGACACUUGAAAUUCGGUGAUUCAAUCCUCAUGUAUAGCUUGGCUAUAGGCAUGAUAUAUUACUUGCAAAACUGUCUAUUUGCCUUGGUGGGUCAGUUAUAGUGUGGGGAAAAAGGACCAAAAAGUGCUACAGCAUGACUGACUUAAAAACUAUAUUGUCAAGGGAGUGUGUCCCUAGCAGAACUUUUGAAACCUCAUUUUAGUUAGGGGGAGUUACAGAUUAUUAUUUUUUUUCUCAAUCAGUUAUCUUCAGCUACACUGCUGAUUGAAGAUAUUUGCAACAUAUAUAAUCUGUUUAAAACAUUCAUAUUUUUAAUACUGACUGUGGUGGGUUGACCCUGGCUGGAGGCCAGGUGCCCACCAGAGCCGCUCUCUCACUCCCCUCAUUCACUAGACAGGGGAGAAAGGGCAUAACGAAAUGCUUGCAGGUCGAGAUAAGGACAGGGAGAGAUCACUCACUAAUUGUUGUCACGAGCAAAACACACCAAACUUAGAGAGGGAAUUCAUCUAAUUUAUUACCAAGCAAAACAGAGUAGAGCAAUGAGAAAUAAAAUCAAAUCUUAAAACACCUCCCCCCACCCCUCCCAUCUUUCUGGGCUCAACUUCACUCCUGGCUUCAACCUCCUCCCUGCUCAGCGUCAGAGGGGGACGGGGAAGGGGUCAGUUCAUCACACGUUGUCUCUGCUGCUUCUUCAUCCUCAGGAGGAGGACUCCUCUCAUUGUUCCCCUGCUCCAACAUGGAGUCCCUCUCAUGGGAGACAGUCCUUCACGAACUGCUCCAGCAUGGUCUCUUCCAUGGGGUGCAGACCUUCAGGAGCAAACUGCUCCAGCGUGGGGUCCCCCACGGGGUCACAAGUCCUGCCAGCAAACCUGCUCCGGUGUGGGCUCCUCUCUCCAUGGGGCCACAGGUCCUGCCAGGAGCUUGCUCCAGCAUGGGCUUCCCAUGGGGUCACAGCCUCCUUCAGGUGCCUCCACCUGCUCCGGCGUGGGGUCCUCCACGGGCUGCAGGUGGAAUCUCUACACCCCCCUCAUCCUUCCUCCAUGGGC